AUUCGGGGGAGACACCCCAUACAGGUUUGUCUUUUAUACUCACAUUUCAUAUUAGCACGAUUAUAUUUGUGAAUGACUAAGUUACGAAGGUUUCAAAACCCAAGUAAUUAAUGUUCAUCAACAAUGCCCUAUCAUAACAAGUUCCAUGAAACAUUAAAGUUUAAAUAAUAAUAAAAGCACAGCAAUUUCAGUUCCUGCAAGAUGCUACUUGAGGUGGGUUCCUUCAAGAUAUGCACAUAAGCCUAUUGUAUAUUUGAAUGACACAUUUUACUUUCCCAUAUAUAUUUUGGUCUAUAUUUCUGAAACAGUCAUGAUGAGCAUAUCAAUUGCCUACUGUAGUUGCUUCUUUGGGGAUAAUUGCUAAAGCACUUAUUUUCCAAUUUUUUCCCUUGCCUAUUUGUUUCACUAGCAUAGGCAUUGUAUUGAUAUCAAUUUUUUUUUCUACAGUUUAAUGUUCGGACCAGAU
rnacentral:misc_RNA from 1 species